GCAAGAUUAAAACUCAAAGGAAUAGACGGGGACCCGCACAAGCGGUGGAGCAUGUGGUUUAAUUCGAAGAUACGCGAAGAACCUUACCUGGGCUUGAUAUCCAACUAAUCUCUUAGAGAUAAGAGAGUGCUAGCUUGCUAGAAAGUUGAGACAGGUGCUGCACGGCUGUCGUCAGCUCGUGUCGUGAGAUGUUGGGUUAAGUCCCGCAACGAGCGCAACCCACGUAUUUAGUUGCUAACAGUUUGGCUGAGCACUCUAAAUAGACUGCCUUCGUAAGGAGGAGGAAGGUGUGGACGACGUCAAGUCAUCAUGGCCCUUAUGCCCAGGGCGACACACGGGCUACAAUGGCAUAUACAAUGAGAUGCAAUAUCGCGAGAUGGAGCAAAUC
rnacentral:rRNA from 1 species